UCCACUCACUCACACUGUGACUCAAUUGAUCAGGCAUGAAGCAGUUAGGAUUGCACACAGAAUGUUUUAAAAAGGAAGAAGCUCUAUUUUCACUGAGGAGCUGAUUGGGAAAGGAUGGGGAACUGCAUUAAAUUCCCCUUUCUCCUCUUCCUGAAGAGCAUUGUAACCCUGCUAAAGCGUUCUUUAAAAAGGACUCCUUGUCUACCAUCUCAGCUGCUGUGUUACAGAGGAGAGACAUGUCUGAACUGCUUAGCUGCACAUGUGGCCCCCCAUCUAGCUAGAGGGCAUAUGCUUUGAAACCCCAGUUAGAUUUGGUGGCUACACUUUAUAACAUUUUUUUUCCUGUGAUGACACAAUGCAUCAGGAUUUAGUGGGUGGAUGACUGAAACCACUAAGUAGCAUAGGAGCAGCUGCCCUCCUGACAUCUCCUGCUGCUUAUGUGGAUGGGACCAGGAUGGAGCAUUGGCAAGGAUGGACGCACAAUUCUAAAUUACGAAUGCGUCACAAAAUAUCCAUUUCAAUGUGGAUUUUUAGGACGAAGAGGUAGUAGCCCCCAAGAUUUUAUGCGGAGAGGUCCACAAAAGCACAAUUCUGACAGGAAGGAGAAAGAAGAAUGAAUAAUAAUGCUGUAGGACAGAGAGAAAAAUCAGAGCAUUUAAAACAGGAUAAAUGUAAUGGUUUGACAAAGAGAAAAAAUGACCGCAGAAAAACAUGGAUAGACAUGUUCAUCAUAAAAUAUACUGUAGGCAGUAGUAUUCUGCAAUCUGACGAUCUGAUCAACAUCAAUAAAAAUAUAAUUCCAUAA